rnacentral:rRNA from 1 species
GGGUCAGUAGGUUGGUCGUGCCACCGGUACGUACUGGUCUCACUGAUUCCUCCUUCCUGAAGAACCGUAAUGCCAUUAAUUUGGUGUUGCGGGGAAACAGGACUGUUACUUUGAAAAAAUUAGAGUGUUUAAAGCAAGCUAACGCUCGAAUACAUUAGCAUGGAAUAACGAAAUAGGACGAUCGAUCCUAUUUUGUUGGUUUCUAGGAUUGACGUA